UUUCCUACGGGGGGCAGCAGUGAGGAAUAUUGGUCAAUGGGCGCGAGCCUGAACCAGCCAAGUAGCGUGAAGGAUGACUGCCCUACGGGUUGUAAACUUCUUUUAUAAAGGAAUAAAGUGAGGCACGUGUGCCUUUUUGUAUGUACUUUAUGAAUAAGCAUCGGCUAACUCCGUGCCAGCAGCCGCGGUAAUACGGAGGAUGCGAGCGUUAUCCGGAUUUAUUGGGUUUAAAGGAUGCGUAGGCGGAUUUUUAAGUCAGCGGUAAAAUGUCCGGGCUCAACCCGGGCCGGCCGUUGAAACUGGGG
rnacentral:rRNA from 1 species